AUUCUAUUCCCUCCGUCUUAAAAUUCUUGUCUUAGGUUUGUUUAGGAAUGAAUAUAUCAAAAUACUAAAACACGACUAGAUACAUUCAUAUCUAGACAAAUCUAAGACAAAAACUUUGGAACGGAGGGAGUAGUAG
rfam:Hordeum vulgare subsp. vulgare, WGS project CAJW01000000 data, contig: morex_contig_1575181